rnacentral:rRNA from 1 species
CGCAUCUGUGCAUGCAGCAUAUCAAUAAGCGGAGGAAAAGAAACUAACAAGGAUUCCCCUAGUAACGGCGAGUGAAGCGGGAAGAGCUCAAAUUUGAAAUCUUAAAGGGUUUCCCUUUACGAAUUGUAGUUUAAAGAAGUGUUUUCUGUUGAGGUUUUGGUAAAAGUUCUUUGGAAUAGGACAUCAUAGAGGGUGAGAAUCCCGUAUUUGACCUUUACUUUCAACUUUGUGAUACACUUUCAAGGAGUCGGAUUGUUUGGGAAUGCAGUCCAAAAUGGGUGGUAAAUUUCAUCUAAAGCUAAAUAUUGGCGAGAGACCGAUAGCGAACAAGUACCGUGAGGGAAAGAUGAAAAGAACUUUGAAAAGAGAGUUAAACAGUACGUGAAAUUGUCAAAGAGGGAAGCGUUUGACACCAGUGUUGUUUUUCUGAAAAUCAAUUAAAGAACUGUUUAUGCUAAGCUGUUUAGACUUUAUCAGCUAAUCUGUUUAGUUUUGAGCUUUUCUUUAAUGCACUUUUCAGGUAACAAGUCAACAUCAAUUUCUUUUGCUGUAAAAAAGCUUGAGGAAGGUGGCUUGAGAUUCGUCUUAAGUGUUUAUAGCCUCUUGCCUAUGCAGUCGGAGAGAUUGAGGUCUGCAGCGUAGAUCCUUCGGGGCUAAAUGCAUUUGUGCUAAGUUAUAGCAUUUUAUAGACAACUUGUUGACUAUGAUUUGUCUUGUAGCUUACUCGCUUAUGUUAUUUUACCUACGCUUAGGAUGUUGAGUCGUAGAGCACGCAG